UUCGCGGAAUGUCCUUUGUAUUCUUCUUUCUUAUUGGAUAAGUCAUAGGAGACUGGAUAAUAAAAACAAAAAUAACUUGGGUUUGUCUCUUAUCCUGGAUAAUCAUAGGAGAAUACUAUAAUCGUAGGAGAAUACUUUGUCUCCUAUCUAUUCAAAAAAAAAAAAAAAAAAAUCAAUAUAACAUGGGUUUGAAACUUUUCUCCAACAUUGAAAAAAACAUUUUUGUAUUAAAUGUGCAUGAACUUUUC
rnacentral:lncRNA from 1 species